rnacentral:tRNA from 2 species
GCGGGUGUCGUCUAAUGGUAGGGCCUCAGCUUCCCAAGCUGAUGACGGGGGUUCGAUUCCCCUCACCCGCUCCA